rnacentral:sRNA from 2 species
GGACAGCCAUCGCCGAGUCCCCGUCAGGCGCGAGCCUGGGGAGCCGGGGACCCACGAAGUCCCUGGGGUGAAUCGGAUCUCCGUGCCUCGUCAGAGGUCCGGCGGCCCGUAGGAGACCUUCCUGCUCCGAACCCGUCAGCUAACCCGGUAGGCGAGAAGGAAGGAAAGG